ACUUUCGCUUCUUCCCUGCUGAAGAGGUUUACAACCCGAAGGCCGUCAUCCCUCACGCGGCGUCGCUGCAUCAGGCUUUCGCCCAUUGUGCAAUAUUCCCCACUGCUGCCUCCCGUAGGAGUCUGGGCCGUGUCUCAGUCCCAGUGUGGCCGGUCGCCCUCUCAGGCCGGCUACCCGUCGUCGCCUUGGUAGGCCAUUACCCCACCAACAAGCUGAUAGGCCGCGGGCUCAUCCUUCACCGCCGGAGCUUUUAACCCCGUCCCAUGCGGGACAGAGUGUUAUCCGGUAUUAGACCCCGUUUCCAGGGCUUGUCCCAGAGUGAAGGGCAGAUUGCCCACGUGUUACUCACCCGUUCGCCACUAAUCCACCCCGAAAGGCUUCAUCGUUCGACUUGCAUGUGUUAAGCACGCCGCCAGCGUUCGUCCUGAGCCAGGAUCAAACUCNNAGGAGGUGAUNCAGCNGCNUACUGAGCGAGGAUCAAACUCUAAGG
rnacentral:rRNA from 1 species